rnacentral:rRNA from 1 species
ACCCAAAAACAUUGCCGAGUUGAUGNUAGCGAAAGAGGAAGGGACGGCUAACUCUGUGCCAGCAACCCGCGGUAAUACAGAGKUCCCGAGCGUUGUUCGGAUUCACUGGGCGUAAAGGGUGCGUAGGUGGCGGGGUAAGUCGGAUGUGAAAUCUCGGAGCUCAACUCCGAAACUGCAUUGGAAACUACCUUGCUCGAGGGUUGGAGGGGGGACUGGAAUUCUCGGUGUAGCAGUGAAAUGCGUAGAUAUCGAGAGGAACACCAGUGGCGAAGGCGAGUCCCUGGACAACUCCUGACACUGAGGCACGAAAGCUAGGGGAGCAAACAGGAUUAGAUACCCUGGUAGUCCUAGCCGUAAACGGUGCACGUUUGCUGUAAAAGGAAUCGACCCCUUUUGUGGCGUAGCCAACGCGAUAAACGUGCCGCCUGGGAAGUACGGUCGCAAGAUUAAAACUCAAAGAAAUUGACGGGGGCCUGCACAAGCGGUGGAGUAUGUGGCUCAAUUCGAUGCAACGCGAAGAACCUUACCUGGCCUUGACAUGUACGUAGUAGAAGGGUGAAAACCUGACGAGCUCGCAAGAGCAGCGUACACAGGUGCUGCAUGGCUGUCGUCAGCUCGUGUCGUGAGAUGUUGGGUUAAGUCCCGCAACGAGCGCAACCCUUGUGUCCUGUUGCCACCCCCGAGUAAUCGGGGAGCACUCUGGACAGACUGCCUCGCUUAAACGAGGAGGAAGGUGGGGAUGACGUCAAGUCAGUAUGGCCCUUACGGCCAGGGCUGCACACGUACUACAAUGCCCGGCACAAAGGGAAGCAAGACCGCAAGGUGGAGCAAAUCCCCAAAAACCGGGCCCAGUUCAGAUUGCCGUCUGCAACUCGACGGCAUGAAGUUGGAAUCGCUAGUAAUGGCGCAUCAGCUACGGCGCCGUGAUAAGU